AAUAAGGCAACGACGAGAAAGAGUAGUUGGACCCCGUUCUUUUAACAGAGAGCUCCGGUAGGUGAAAAGGAGUAAAGAAACGUCUGACGAACAUGGUCUCAGAGCUGUGCAUUGAACCCUCUCAGAGAGGUAGUAGACCGCACCGGGCGCACCCGUUAACGUGCCAGGGUAUAAUCACCUCAUGUGGUGACGUACCUGUAGAGGCCAGUCUCCGUAAGGGAUCGGUAAAUUUAGGUGGAAACACGUGAGCGACAGCUUUCGUCCUUUUU
rfam:Paenibacillus sp. Soil750 contig_9, whole genome shotgun sequence.